rnacentral:rRNA from 1 species
CCUACGGGAGGCAGCAGUGGGGAAUAUUGCACAAUGGGGGAAACCCUGAUGCAGCGACGCCGCGUGAGCGAUGAAGUAUUUCGGUAUGUAAAGCUCUAUCAGCAGGGAAGAAAAUGACGGUACCUGACUAAUAAGCCCCGGCUAACUACGUGCCAGCAGCCGCGGUAAUACGUAGGGGGCAAGCGUUAUCCGGAUUUACUGGGUGUAAAGGGAGCGUAGACGGCGAUUCAAGCCAGAUGUGAAAGCCCGGGGCUCAACCCCGGGACUGCAUAUGGAACUGUAUAGCUGGAGUGUCGUAGAGGCAGGCGGAAUGCCUGGUGUAGCGGUGAAAUGCGUAGAUAUUAGGAGGAACACCAGUGGCGAAGGCGGCCUGCUGGACGAUGACUGACGUUGAGGCUCGAAAGCGUGGGGAGCAAACAGGAUUAGAGACCCUUGUAGUC